GGGAGCUACUGGGGGUACUGGGGAAAGCAGAGAGGCGCUGCGAAGAUGGGAAAGGCGAGAGGACGCCCGGGAGGUGUCCGAGGACCCGGAAACCAGGUGCCCUUGGGAGCAGCGGUAGAUACCUAGUAAUGGGAUUGUGAGAUCAAAUGGGAAGUCUACUUUCAGUUUUUUGAAGAGUCCUUAUCCGUCUUUGCAGCCCUGCUGACACGGAAGCCCUGAGCGGUGCAGCAGUGCCCCCAGAGUGAAACAGCCAAGAAGUGGAGGAGUCAAGAGUAGAACAGGUUGCAGUCAACAGUAUUCCAG